UGUAACAGAGAUGAUUAAAUACCAAGCCGAAUAAUACCAAGCCUAGCCUAAAAGCAAUUAUAAAGGUGCUCUUUAAACACGUUGUUAGUCAAUCAUGCAAUCAUCAUUCGUUUUAAAACUAAGAGUGUGUUAUUAGACAUUUGAUUUGUGACUUCACGUUGUAUAAGACAAUAGAUCCACUUUUGAAAACCUAAAUAAAAUGCCUUAGAAACCAUUAAAGGUUUAUUAAUGACACAAAUUCUUAUUUUACAUUUCUCUCUAUCUGUGGGACAAUCUACAUGUUUACCUGGACCAUUUUGUGUCUGUUAAACAUGAACCUUUUAUGCCGUUAUUGGAGACUGCCUGUGUUCAUAAUAAAAACAAAUAUGCAUAGGCAGUAGAGUCAUGCGAUGGGGAAAACCAUUCCCAUGUCGCACAAUCAGUAUUACAAAGAGUCGUUGACUGCAUCAAGAACAAAAUUAAACAGUUAAAAAAUAUUAAACAAAAUGACAAAUGUAAAUUUGGCGAGUCACGAUAACCAUCUCUUCUUUCAGUUCAAAUUAUGCUUUCCUUUUCUCAUCUCAGAAUACAAUUGCAGGAAGAUAUUUAAUAUGCUGCAGUGGUACGAGUAUAGCUGAAAUUUAUUCUCAUCGCUACUGCUCAAAAUAGUAUGAAAUGGCCUGAAAUUUUAGAUCUUUUAAAUGAAAUACGAUCUACAAUGCAUGCAGCGAUGGAAUUUUUUAACGCAUAUUAUUUCGCUAAGGAUUUAUACUACUAAUUAUAGGCGGACGUUCACCUUUCAUGUAUAUAAAACAUUGUGGAUAAGGCGUAGCGGAACUUCUGGGAAAAUAUGGUGUAUUUUCCUAGUGUAAACACUUUUAUUUUAAUAGUACAUAUAUAAGAAAUAUAUAUAAGCAAGGGAGUUACUUAUACCCAAGCCCAGCAAAGCAAGUAUGCGACACCAAAGGCCUACAGAUCUAUUAGCCUUACAUGCUUUCUACUCAAAACCAUGGAACGUAUUGUGGAUACCAUGAUAAAUAUUGUAGUAGGACAUCCAGCGAACUCCUGAAAUACAAAGAGCAGAGCGGUGGGAGUAGUAGCAUGGAAACUCUGGACGGAUACAGAUGAAUUUCACAAUAAUGUCACGUAUUUACGAACACGUUCUCAUAUUCAAACUUUGAAGUCUCUCAAUGUCACAAAAACACAAUUAUUUUAAACUAUCCCACUUCUGAAAUUGUCAAAGGUUGGGCAAGUGGGAUAAAGGUUUAUGUUCAAAAUGUUUAUUAAUGUAAAUAAUUGUACUUUGUGUUUAUAAUAAAGAAAAAUAAUAUAGUAGAGAUCGUUUCACAGAAAAAUUAGGCUCACUUAAGAAAUGUGUGCAUUCAAUUAAAAAAUAUAUAUUAUUGAUUAACAAUUGUGCAAUUUGGAUUUGU